UACGAAGGGGGCUAGCGUUGCUCGGAAUCACUGGGCGUAAAGCGCACGUAGGCGGCUUACUAAGUCAGGGGUGAAAUCCUGGAGCUCAACCUCGGAACUGCCUUUGAUACUGCAAAUCUCGAGUCCGGAAGAGGUGAGUGGAAUUCCUAGUGUAGAGGUGAAAUUCGUAGAUAUUAGGAAGAACACCAGUGGCGAAGGCGGCUCACUGGUCCGGUACUGACGCUGAGGUGCGAAAGCGUGGGGAGCAAACAGG
rnacentral:rRNA from 1 species